UCAAUUACAUACCUUUGCAGACUUUCCAAAAUAAAUUCUUUUACUUUGCUAGCCGUAUGUUUUUCUUGCAAAUUUGAAAUUGAUAGUGUGUAAAUCACUGUCUUCCCAUUCAACAAAUACUGUGCGUUUGAGCAGAUAACACUGCGGGAAAGUCGCUGAGCACUAUCGAUUUUGAUCGAUUGGAAGAUGAAGAAACCAAGCGACUUCGUAUCAGAGCUUUAAAGGAAAAACGUCGGUUAGAAAAAACGGCUAAAAUACUUAAGGAGCGCGAAUAUCAACGAGCACUUGAGGCAAAGUGUAAAGCUGAUGAAUUCUAUACAUGCUGGCUUUUACGUCGUAUUGGAGUGGAAAGAUUUAAACAAUUAAUAGAACGGAAACGAGAUAAUAGCCGAAAAUGUGAGCAGUUUAGGAAGAAGGUUUUCAAACGCACAUACUUCUUAAAUUGGCGAGACCAUUAUCUAAAAUUGCGCAACGAAAAAUUAACAUUGGCUGAAGAAGUAUACGAAAAAUUUUCAAAACGAAAGACUUUGCGAGCAUGGCAAUUUUACGUGCAAGAAGAACACAGCAAGUUUAAUGUUGCCGUUGACUGGUGCGACUUGAAGCGAGCCGAAAUAGUAUUUAAAUAUUGGGUUCAGUAUAACACGUGCAUGCGGGCAAAUGAAGCAUCUAAAAUUAAUCAGGCAAACUCUCAUCAUGAAUGGCAUUUAAAAUGGAAGGUGCUGGAUUGCUGGCAACGUUUACCACAAAUAUUGCGGUUAGAAAUAGAAACAGAAGAGAGACGUCAACGAUGGCGCAUGAAAAUAUGGGAACUUUUGCCAGAUUACACUCCAAACACAGUGGAUCUAUCUUAACAGCAGCUUAAUACAUUUACAUAUUCAUUUAUAUAUAAUGUUUGUAAUCAUGGUGGAAUAAGAA